rnacentral:lncRNA from 1 species
AAGAACAAUUAAAAAAGAAAAGAAAUAAAUGCUCAGAGUCAGAAUGUAAUGUUAACGUAAAAUAGUGUAACUCACAUUUACACAUUGUUUGGUUGAAGUGAAAGUAAGAGGAAAGAAACUUGGAGAAGAGAAAACACUAAUUCCAAAACACUUUUCAAUAAUUGGAAAAGUAGAAGAAAAUUGGAAGAAAAGAAUGAUUCAGAUGUCGGACCCACAAAAAAGCUUUCUUCUGAUUAAUGGAGAGAAAGCUCGCUGGCC